AUUGAACGCUGGCGGCAUGCCUUACACAUGCAAGUCGAACGGUAACGGGCCUUCGGGUGCCGACGAGUGGCGAACGGGUGAGUAAUACAUCGGAACGUGCCCGAUCGUGGGGGAUAACGAGGCGAAAGCUUUGCUAAUACCGCAUACGAUCUACGGAUGAAAGCAGGGGACCGCAAGGCCUUGCGCGGACGGAGCGGCCGAUGGCAGAUUAGGUAGUUGGUGGGAUAAAAGCUUACCAAGCCGACGAUCUGUAGCUGGUCUGAGAGGAUGAUCAGCCACACGGGAGCUGAGACAGGCCCCAACCCCCACGGGGAGGCAGCGGGGGGGUUUUUGGGACAGAGGGCGCAAGCUUUACCCAGCCAGGCCGCGUCAGGAAUGAGGGCCUUGGGUUUGUAAAUGUUUUUUGAAGGGAAAAAAAACCUUUUUUUUAAUACGGGGGGUUCAUGCCGGUACCUAAAAAAAAAGCCCGGCCUAACUCCGUG
rnacentral:rRNA from 1 species